GGGGGCUCAAACAACCAUCUCUUCCGCGAAUACCUGAAGAAGCCACCAUGGCUCCUUCAAGAUGGCAGCGGAGGGUCGAGGAGAUAAGAAUGCAACUUCUCCGUGGAGGCGGACCUCGGCCUAUCACUGCAUUCAUCCAUCAUCUACCAUGGGGCCCUCAGGCGCAAGGUCACGGUCAUGG